rnacentral:lncRNA from 1 species
AUUUUCUUUUUCUUUUUGUUUUUUUAUUUUUUAAGAAUCUGUAUGAGGAGCUGGGCAAUAUACUUAAAUGUUCCCAAGACCUAAUGAAGAAAAAGGUUAAGGACAAUUUAAAAACAUGACAAAGAAUGACCCCCUCAUUAAUAUUGAAUUGACUACAUCACAACAACAAAGCUGGGAGUUUGCAAGUUCAAGAUGAGACUGUGCUCUCAGUUUCCUUCCUUCCUUUUUAAUGUACUCUAAGCUAGCAGUUGGAGAAUACCCCACACGUGUUUUCUUUGGCCUAUGUAGUGUUAAUUUUUUUAAGAUCUGAAUGCCUUUAGAUGACCAUGUAUAUAUACCUCUAGUUUGCCACUGCCUGUGUUACCUCACGCCUGACUUGCCUUUACAGUCACUUCCUGUAUAUUUCCUACCCAGUAGGCAUCUCACUGUGUACUUGGAAUGAGCAUGCUCCUUGAAGCCCCAGGCCCACGUCUAUUCUCAGGUUCUUACUGCAUUUUCCCCAUCUUCACAGUGUACAGUCACUGGGGGAUUCUGUCAGGGGGAAGAAAGAAAGCGGCUUUUUUUUCUCUGGAGUGAUGACUUUGAGAAGUGACGUUGACUGAAAUAGUCAUGGCACUCUGUUCUCUUCUGUCUUACAAAAACUUUUAAUCAAAAACUUUUAAUUAAAUUAAAUUUCUAAAUUGGUGAGGGGGGGAUUGUUUAAUAUAUAUUUAUAGGAGUGAAUAUUAUAAUAAGUAAUAUAUUAUUUGAGACAUUAAAAUUUACUUUGUGGGG